rnacentral:lncRNA from 1 species
UAGGAAGAAAGGCCACUUUGUGUUAGUCAAACAGGCUUUCUUCAGAGCUGUCAGCGGGCUGUGAUGAAAGAACCAUGACACUGACCCUAGACUAAGGUUUGAAUUCCGCCGAGGUCACUCACUACCUCAGUUACCUUGGAUAAUUUACUUGAUUUCUCCCUUUCUAGUUCUUUUUCUGUAAAAUGAGGAAGAGAAUGGUAAAGUCUCCUUUGCAUUACUGUGAGGAUUGCCAAAGGUCUGGAUCACAGUUGGUUCUCCCGUGGGAAUCAUUGCCAUCACCGUCAUUGCCUUGUGUACGGCCUUCACGCGUUUCGCCAGCUUCUGUGUCAUUGGUGACAUCAUAAAAUCAGGGAAAGGGAAAUCUGUAAACACUGGCCGUUGAAGAAUACGGUUUCUGAGAAUUUCCACUCUGAAUUCACAUUCCGUUCAGUGUUAUCGCCACCCUGUGGAUUUCUUGGGUAAUGAAACUCAGACCGGGAAAUGAAAACGGGGAUUUUCAGUAAAUCGGUUCCAGUAAAUCUCUGCUGCUCUUGUGGGCGCCCUCUUUUGAGCACCGGAGGAAUGAGCACCGUUCUUCAUUCUUUUGGUUUUGUAAAGUUGUAGAGCUGCGUUCAUAACUACCUCGCUGGCUUUGAGCACAACCCAGGAAGAAGUUUGAAACCAAGAAAAUGGUGGUUGGGAAGACCAGGAUGCGCAAUGGCAAGUGCUGACAACUCUGGAAUACACAGUAGGCACCCAAUACAUACAAGGGAGUAAAUGAAUGAAUUAAAGCUGUCUGUAUCUGCUGAUCAUCCACAAUUUAGACGUCCUAUACUACAUUCCAAUUGAGGGCAAGCGGGGUACGUGUCCUGAAUUUAUAGAAUCUUUUGACACAAAGCAAGAGAGCCACAGUCAAGACUCAAGUCAAAAGAAAUUUAGACCCCAUCUGGGCAAACAGGCCUCUAAGCAACAAUCUAAGAUUUCCACCUAUUGUUCUGGCAUUCCUUGUAUAAAUGAUUAUGACUGCAGAGAUCUUAGGAAGUGCUGUGGUACCUUUAGAUGUGGCCUGAGGUGCAUACAUCCUCUUAUGAUUGGCCCUGUAUUUUUCAAUUCACCUCCACAAUCCAAGGCAUAAAUAUUGGAUGGAGAAAUGGAUUCAGAUGGAGGCAUCAUUGAGCUUAUUCUUGACUCAUCUCAGUCCAAACAUUACUCUGUCAAUCGUUGUUCUUAAAAUCUGCAUAUUAAAAGCUCAGCAUCAACUAUUUUUGAGCUCUGUGUCUCAUUCAGG